rnacentral:sRNA from 1 species
UUUACAUCUGUAGUUUAUAGGAUGAGAACCUCCGAAGGAGGUUUGAGCCGAGCGCAGCGAGACAACGUUGCUUUAGCAACGGCCCGCAGGGCUGCAUCGCAGAUGCAGUAAUCCUCUCUCGCCGACCA